rnacentral:rRNA from 1 species
UACGAAGGGUGCAAGCGUUACUCGGAAUUACUGGGCGUAAGCGUGCGUAGGCGGUUUGUUAAGUCCGUUGUGAAAGCCCUGGGCUCAACCUGGGAAUUGCAGUGGAUACUGGCAAGCUAGAGUACGGUAGAGGAUGGUGGAAUUCCCGGUGUAGCGGUGAAAUGCGUAGAGAUCGGGAGGAACACCCGUGGCGAAGGCGGCCAUCUGGACCAGUACUGACGCAGAGGCACGAAAGCGUGGGGAGCAAACAGGG